ACACACUGAUGUGUGGGUAUCGAUCGAACAAAGGGCAGGGGUGACCAAGGGAUUUUCUUCAAACCCUAGUUUCACAUCAAAUCCCGAAAUUGAAGCUUCAAAUCUGCCCUAAAUCAAGUCUUGAACAUAAAUUAGUGAUCCCCUUGUAGCAAGGAUCAAAAAGGUAAAGAAUCCGGGUCGUCAAGUGGACAAGCCGGGGGUGAUAGACGCUAAAAGGGUGCGCUUUGAAGGUACGGCUCGUGGUCAUGGAUGUUGAUCAAGCAAUGAGAUUCAAGAACCGAACACAUAUUUUGAAUGCUUCCGCGAUAAUCUAUUCAAGCUAGACUUAGACGUUGUUGUUGAAACUUUGUUAAAUGUCUUGUUUUUAAACAAGUUAGUACGUUAUGUUACUUAUUAACUUAACUUUGUAAAAACCAAAAAUAUGUUUUAUUGUA